GCUCCGGCUCCCCGGCCGUGCCUCCUGCGGGCGCCGCCUCUUCCCCGCUCGGCGGGAGCGGCUCCCCGGGCGCCCGUUCACAGGACGGCGCUUCCCGCCACGCCUCGCCGCUCCCCCCUCCCCCCGGCGGACGGGUUGGUUUCACUCUCUUGACUCACCCAGCAGAUUAUGGAGCUCUCUAGGUGGUAUGGCUUUUUGGAGAGAGCCAAACCAAAGGACCUGCUGCACACAUCCUGCUUCCCAGGCUCCUUGCCAGCACAGGGAGUGAUAUGUCAGCAUAGAAGAUUCCAUAUCAUUGAACUGAUCACCUAACAGCAUUUAUCAGAAAAUUUAGAGUGUGUUUCAAAAAUAACUGAAAUUGUUCUGCCACCAAAUAGUGAUGUAAGUAAAGAAGAAAUUGAGUUUUCCUCUCACAGAUUUGUUUAUGGCACAUGAUUGUGAAAUGAUGUAUUUAUUAACACACAGCUCAGAA